GAUGAACGCUGGCGGCGUGCAUAACACAUUCAAGUCGAACGAGGUAGCAAUACCUAGUGGCGGACGGGUGAGUAACGCGUGAGCAACCUGCCCUUGUGUGGGGGAUACCGUCUGGAAACGGACGUUAAUACCGCAUAACGUAGUGAGAUCGCAUGGUCUUAUUACCAAAGAUUUAUUGCGCAAGGAUGGGCUCGCGUUGGAUUAGAUAGUUGGUGAGGUAACGGCCCACCAAGUCUGCGAUCCAUAGCCGGACUGAGAGGUUGAACGGCCACAUUGGAACUGAGAUACGGUCCAG
rnacentral:rRNA from 1 species